GUGGGGAAUAUUGGACAAUGGGCGCAAGCCUGAUCCAGCAAUGCCGCGUGGGUGAAGAAGGUCUUCGGAUCGUAAAGCCCUUUCGACAGGGACGAUGAUGACGGUACCUGUAGAAGAAGCCCCGGCUAACUUCGUGCCAGCAGCCGCGGUAAUACGAAGGGGGCUAGCGUUACUCGGAAUUACUGGGCGUAAAGGGCGCGUAGGCGGCUCUGUUAGUCAGGCGUGAAAUUCCUGGGCUUAACCUGGGGACUGCGCUUGAUACUGCAGGGCUUGAGGCCGAGAGAGGGUGGUGGAAUUCCCAGUGUAGAGGUGAAAUUCGUAGAUAUUGGGAAGAACACCGGUGGCGAAGGCGACCACCUGGCUCGGUUCUGACGCUGAGGCGCGACGGCGUGGGGAGCAAACAGGAUUAGAAACCCCAGUAGUCC
rnacentral:rRNA from 1 species